rnacentral:rRNA from 1 species
UAGGGAAUCUUCCGCAAUGGACGCAAGUCUGACGGAGCAACGCCGCGUGAGUGAAGAAGGAUUUCGGUUCGUAAAACUCUGUUAUUAGGGAAGAACAAAUGUGUAAGUAACUAUGCACGUCUUGACGGUACCUAAUCAGAAAGCCACGGCUAACUACGUGCCAGCAGCCGCGGUAAUACGUAGGUGGCAAGCGUUAUCCGGAAUUAUUGGGCGUAAAGCGCGCGUAGGCGGUUUUUUAAGUCUGAUGUGAAAGCCCACGGCUCAACCGUGGAGGGUCAUUUGAAACUGGAAAACUUGAGUGCAGAAGAGGAAAGUGGAAUUCCAUGUGUAGCGGUGAAAUGCGCAGAGAUAUGGAGGAACACCAGUGGCGAAGGCGACUUUCUGGUCUGUAACUGACGCUGAUGUGCGAAAGCGUGGGGAUCAAACAAG